AACAGUGAAGGGGAAAGAACAGUGAUUUACUCCAAGUCUGUAAUUUGGACUAAAACCUUUGUGUGUUUAUUUAAUGUCAGGACACAAAACUGUACAACAUGUUCCAGGCUCGAUUGUCUUUACCUAACACUGAGUAACACGGACGAUAAACUUGACUUUUCUAUGUUGAAACACUGACAUAUUGAAUGUGAAUUAGUGAACAGUGAAAAAAUAGAUGUGAAUAUUGACUUGAUGUCAGCGGAUUCCUCCGGAGUUCCAGUUUGCGGCGCUCAUUGGUGACGUCACUUACCGGUCAGCAGCCUCUGAAUCCCGGCAGCGCUAUUUAAGUGUUUCUGCGUGAUUUUCACCAGAUGAUCUCUCUACAGUUACGUCGUGAUCUGUGACUUUUCUCACCGUCCUCCUGUUCUAGUUAUUUCUCAGUCCUGCUCUUUUUGCUGCUGCGCUUUCUUUUGCUUUUCGGCUCUGGCGCUUUUUCUGUUAGUUUUUUGGGGUUUUUUGCUAUUUUUGCUCUCCCAUUUUCCCCGUGGAUUAUUUCCCGUGUGUGGAUUAUUUCCUGUUUAUAGAUAGUGACCAUGGUGGAUUAAAGACCUGCGCUGGUGGACUAUUAUUGUACUUUGGCUACCUGUUGCUACCUGCUUGUGUUAUGAGGUUUGUGCUGUGACUUUGACCUGCUUAUGUCUCUGUCUCUAGGUUUGUUUUGCAUCCUGUGUGGAUUCGCACCUGAAAGCAGAGGAGCAUGUGGUAGCAAUGUGGGGCAACAAAAGCCCUAAAAAUCCUCCCAAAUUGUUGCACUGGCUAAACCCAAUGCUUCAGAGGAGAAACACGGAGCUCAGAUCAAGAGAAAACAUUCAGUACUGUGUGAUUAACAGGGCACUUUUGGGCAACAAGGAACACGUAUCAGUCAAAUUUCAAUCAUUUCUAUCACUUGAAAAGACACAGGUUCAGACAAAAGGUGCCAUUUUCUGAGUUGUUUAACACCUCUAGCUGUAAAUGUCAGGAGGAUGAAAAUCUGAUCUUGUCAGGACUCAGCCCGGACUUUGGCCACGUGUUCUUGUUUUUGUUCCCUGUCACGUGUCUGCCCCGCACUUGUUUACUCCUCCCCGUCUCUGCACAACUGUUCCUCAUGUGUCUUGUCUAUUUAACUGUGCCGUGUUGCCUCGAGCAGUUCAGAAUCCUCUGGUGUCUUUGGUUGUCGUCUGAAGUCGUGUCUGUGUCUUUGUUUCAUGUUUUUAGUUAUUAAAACCUGUUUAUUUUACACUAUCCUGCAUUUGGGUCUGUUUUAUCCCCGCGUUGCUGACAGAUCUAUUGUUGAAUGUUCACAUGUUGAUCUCAAACCAGUGUUCAGUGUAGAGCAAAAAGUAAUUGACUUUACAACCCAACACAUUUGGAGGGAACUGUAAAUAUUACAAUAACAGAAAAUCCAAAAUUUUCACAAAAUCAGGUGUAAUUACCGUAUUCCACACUCAGUCUCUGCAGUUCUGAAAAGAGAAAAAUAUUAAUAUUAGAGAUUUACUUAGAUACUCCAUAGAUACUGUUUAAUAGCUUAUUAUUAUUUUCUAUUCAAAAAGUGUGUGUAGAAAACAGAUUUAGAUUGAUCUGAUUUGUUUCUUUCGUUCAGUUCUGUAGUGAAUUAUUUGUAUAUUCAAUUAUGAUUAUCAUAAUAAUAUUAUUCUACAAAAUAAUGUAAUCCACUAACUUGCAUAAAGAGGAAUUAUUUGCCCCGUUA